rnacentral:lncRNA from 1 species
GUUUUUUAAAAAUCCUUCUUCAAACUUGUUUCCGUUUCGGCAGAAACCCACCGCCUACGAGCACCUUUGCCCAACCGAACUCCAGCCAUACACCACUGUAACCAUCGCCAUGCUUUGAUUAUACUCGUCGCAGCCGUGAAGCGUCGCUACCUUGGUGAAUAUCGUCGUCGUACAACUACCGUAGUCGCCGCCACCAAACUACCCGCCACUCGUAUUCCGUACGGUUCAGUCUGAUUCACGCCACUGGGAGUUACUCGUGUUUCACCGAUCUUGCCUCACUUUCGGAUAUGUUUCUGUUCGACUAUUAAGGUCAUGAUUGGGCUCUCGUAUUAUUGAGGACGACUUGUUUUGUUUUGCGUUUACCUUGCUUGGCUAAAUUAAGGUAAUUUGGGAAACGUGGGGAAUACGUGAAGAGUGUCGUGAAGAUAAAGAUGUAUUUUUAUU